AUUCAACCCAAUGUUCUACUCUAUCAAGACAUUUUUGAGACCCUGUCCCAGAUCAGAAGUCCAGUGGCUCCUCAGAACUCAGAUGCUGUUAGGUGAUCCAGAAGACAGAGUUCUAGACCUGGAGUUUGAGAGAUCUGAGUUUGGACACUUAAUAGUUAAUAACUAUGUGAUCUGGCUUUUUGCAGAUGAAGGACUGAGGCAAAUGGGAUUAAAUGACUUGCCACAUAGUCAGUAAGUGUCUGAGUCCAGAUUUGAACUCAUGAAGAUGUCUUCCUGCUUUCACACACAGUGCUCUAUCUUCUGUGCCACCUAGCUUAUCUGAUGACAAGUGAAAAAUGGUUCCUUCUGUAGAUUAGAAAGAAAAUUGUGCCUUCUGGCCCGAAGAACCAAAGUCCAUAUCAGCUCUAAUAAGAAAUUCCAAUUUACCUUUAAUUGUCAUUUAUAUAGGUUUCUAUGCUACAUAGAGCUCAAACUGUUUCAGAGAACUCUAAUUUCAUUGGUGUGGGCACUCCUUUCACUAAUGUUUAGCACAAGCCCUUUGUACAGCCGUGGAGAGUUGCUGGAUCCCAAUGAUUUGCUCUUCAGUCAUCCUGAUGAUGAACUCAAACUCUAAGCUUGGCUGAUCCUCAGGCAACAGGGACGACAAUUCCUCAUCAUUCCUAUAUUCAAGUCAUUCUAGUUUGGCUGGACUGUGAGUUCUGCUGACAGCUGCAGAGGUGCUAUCAAAUGACUUAUGUAAAUCCUCUCCCCUCUGUGGGCUUCAGUUUUCUCAUGUACAAAAUAAAGAAGUUGGACCAGAUGACUUUGAAGGUCUU
rnacentral:lncRNA from 1 species